rnacentral:rRNA from 1 species
GGUUAAGCGACUAAGCGUACACGGUGGAUGCCCUGGCAGUCAGAGGCGAUGAAGGACGUGCUAAUCUGCGAUAAGCGUCGGUAAGGUGAUAUGAACCGUUAUAACCGGCGAUUUCCGAAUGGGGAAACCCAGUGUGAUUCGUCACACUAUCAUUAACUGAAUCCAUAGGUUAAUGAGGCGAACCGGGGGAACUGAAACAUCUAAGUACCCCGAGGAAAAGAAAUCAACCGAGAUUCCCCCAGUAGCGGCGAGCGAACGGGGAGGAGCCCAGAGCCUGAAUCAGUGUGUGUGUUAGUGGAAGCGUCUGGAAAGGCGCGCGAUACAGGGUGACAGCCCCGUACACAAAAAUGCACAUACUGUGAGCUCGAUGAGUAGGGCGGGACACGUGGUAUCCUGUCUGAAUAUGGGGGGACCAUCCUCCAAGGCUAAAUACUCCUGACUGACCGAUAGUGAACCAGUACCGUGAGGGAAAGGCGAAAAGAACCCCGGCGAGGGGAGUGAAAAAGAACCUGAAACCGUGUACGUACAAGCAGUGGGAGCCUCUUUAUGGGGUGACUGCGUACCUUUUGUAUAAUGGGUCAGCGACUUAUAUUCUGUAGCAAGGUUAACCGAAUAGGGGAGCCGAAGGGAAACCGAGUCUUAACUGGGCGUUAAGUUGCAGGGUAUAGACCCGAAACCCGGUGAUCUAGCCAUGGGCAGGUUGAAGGUUGGGUAACACUAACUGGAGGACCGAACCGACUAAUGUUGAAAAAUUAGCGGAUGACUUGUGGCUGGGGGUGAAAGGCCAAUCAAACCGGGAGAUAGCUGGUUCUCCCCGAAAGCUAUUUAGGUAGCGCCUCGUGAAUUCAUCUCCGGGGGUAGAGCACUGUUUCGGCAAGGGGGUCAUCCCGACUUACCAACCCGAUGCAAACUGCGAAUACCGGAGAAUGUUAUCACGGGAGACACUCGGCGGGUGCUAACGUCCGUCGUGAAGAGGGAAACAACCCAGACCGCCAGCUAAGGUCCCAAAGUCAUGGUUAAGUGGGAAACGAUGUGGGAAGGCCCAGACAGCCAGGAUGUUGGCUUAGAAGCAGCCAUCAUUUAAAGAAAGCGUAAUAGCUCACUGGUCGAGUCGGCCUGCGCGGAAGAUGUAACGGGGCUAAACCAUGCACCGAAGCUGCGGCAGCGACACUAUGUGUUGUUGGGUAGGGGAGCGUUCUGUAAGCCUGUGAAGGUGUACUGUGAGGUAUGCUGGAGGUAUCAGAAGUGCGAAUGCUGACAUAAGUAACGAUAAAGCGGGUGAAAAGCCCGCUCGCCGGAAGACCAAGGGUUCCUGUCCAACGUUAAUCGGGGCAGGGUGAGUCGACCCCUAAGGCGAGGCCGAAAGGCGUAGUCGAUGGGAAACAGGUUAAUAUUCCUGUACUUGGUGUUACUGCGAAGGGGGGACGGAGAAGGCUAUGUUGGCCGGGCGACGGUUGUCCCGGUUUAAGCGUGUAGGCUGAUUUUCCAGGCAAAUCCGGAAAAUCAAGGCUGAGGCGUGAUGACGAGGCACUACGGUGCUGAAGCAACAAAUGCCCUGCUUCCAGGAAAAGCCUCUAAGCAUCAGGUAACAUCAAAUCGUACCCCAAACCGACACAGGUGGUCAGGUAGAGAAUACCAAGGCGCUUGAGAGAACUCGGGUGAAGGAACUAGGCAAAAUGGUGCCGUAACUUCGGGAGAAGGCACGCUGAUAUGUAGGUGAAGCGACUUGCUCGUGGAGCUGAAAUCAGUCGAAGAUACCAGCUGGCUGCAACUGUUUAUUAAAAACACAGCACUGUGCAAACACGAAAGUGGACGUAUACGGUGUGACGCCUGCCCGGUGCCGGAAGGUUAAUUGAUGGGGUUAGCGGUAACGCGAAGCUCUUGAUCGAAGCCCCGGUAAACGGCGGCCGUAACUAUAACGGUCCUAAGGUAGCGAAAUUCCUUGUCGGGUAAGUUCCGACCUGCACGAAUGGCGUAAUGAUGGCCAGGCUGUCUCCACCCGAGACUCAGUGAAAUUGAACUCGCUGUGAAGAUGCAGUGUACCCGCGGCAAGACGGAAAGACCCCGUGAACCUUUACUAUAGCUUGACACUGAACAUUGAGCCUUGAUGUGUAGGAUAGGUGGGAGGCUUUGAAGUGUGGACGCCAGUCUGCAUGGAGCCGACCUUGAAAUACCACCCUUUAAUGUUUGAUGUUCUAACGUUGGCCCCUGAUCGGGGUUGCGGACAGUGUCUGGUGGGUAGUUUGACUGGGGCGGUCUCCUCCUAAAGAGUAACGGAGGAGCACGAAGGUUGGCUAAUCUCGGUCGGACAUCAGGAGGUUAGUGCAAUGGCAUAAGCCAGCUUGACUGCGAGCGUGACGGCGCGAGCAGGUGCGAAAGCAGGUCAUAGUGAUCCGGUGGUUCUGAAUGGAAGGGCCAUCGCUCAACGGAUAAAAGGUACUCCGGGGAUAACAGGCUGAUACCGCCCAAGAGUUCAUAUCGACGGCGGUGUUUGGCACCUCGAUGUCGGCUCAUCACAUCCUCGGGGCUGAAGUAGGUCCCAAGGGUAUGGCUGUUCGCCAUUUAAAGUGGUACGCGAGCUGGGUUUAGAACGUCGUGAGACAGUUCGGUCCCUAUCUGCCGUGGGCGCUGGAGAACUGAGGGGGGCUGCUCCUAGUACGAGAGGACCGGAGUGGACGCAUCACUGGUGUUCGGGUUGUCAUGCCAAUGGCACUGCCCGGUAGCUAAAUGCGGAAGAGAUAAGUGCUGAAAGCAUCUAAGCACGAAACUUGCCCCGAGAUGAGUUCUCCCUGACUCCUUGAGAGUCCUGAAGGAACGUUGAAGACGACGACGUUGAUAGGCCGGGUGUGUAAGCGCAGCGAUGCGUUGAGCUAACCGGUACUAAUGAACCGUGAGGCUUAACCUU